rnacentral:lncRNA from 1 species
AUAUUUUUAAGAAGUAGCUGAAGUCAGUAGCCCGCUUGUAGAACGGAGGUUAUUAUAUUUUGAGUUAAAGGAGUCAGGAGCCCGCCUGUAGAACGGAGGUUGUUAUAUUUUAAGUUGAAGAAGUCAGGAGCCCGCCUGUUAGAACGGAGGUUGUUAUAUUUGAAGUUGAUGAAGUCAGGAGCCUGCCUGUAGAACGGAGGUUGUUAUAUUUUAAGAUAAAGAAGUCAGGAGCCUGCCUGUAGAACGGAGGUUGUCAUAUUUUAAGUUGAAGGAGUCAGGAGCCCGCUUGUAGAACGGAGGUUGUCAUAUUUUAAGUUGAAGUCAGGAGCCCGCCUGGAGAAUGGA